rnacentral:tRNA from 2 species
UGGCCUGUAGCUCAGGUGGUUAGAGCACACGCCUGAUAAGCGUGAGGUCAGUGGUUCGAGUCCACUCAGGCCAA